rnacentral:tRNA from 1 species
GGACCAAUAGCUCAGUUGGUCAGAGCAAUCGGCUCAUAACCGGUCGGUCCGGAGUUCGAGUCUCCGAUGGUCCAC